UCCUCUCUAGCUCAGCGGUUAGAGCGUUUGGCUGUUAACCAAAAAGUCGAAGGUUCAAUUCCUUCGAGGGGAG
rnacentral:tRNA from 1 species